rnacentral:rRNA from 1 species
AGCGUAGGCGGCGUUGUAAGUUAUAUGUGAAAUCCCACGGCUUAACCGUGGAACUGCAUAUAAGACUGCAAUGCUUGAGUGUGGGAGGGGAAAGCGGAAUUCCUAGUGUAGCGGUGGAAUGCGUAGAUAUUAGGAGGAACACCGGUGGCGAAGGCGGCUUUCUGGACCAUAACUGACGCUGAGGCUCGAAAGCGUGGGGAGCAAACAGGAUUAGAUACCCUGGUAGUCCACGCUGUAAACGAUGAAUACUAGACGCUGGGGGUAUUGACUCCUCCGGUGUCGUAGCAAACGCGAUAAGUAUUCCGCCUGGGGAGUACGGCCGCAAGGUUGAA